rnacentral:piRNA from 2 species
UGCCACCAAUGCCCCAGGACAGGCCCACCC